UCGCGGAAGGUCAAUAUCUGACUGGAGCUGGGUUCGAUUUGAGGACAUUUACGUGUGUUGGAAAGAAUUUUGAAGUUGGUUAUCAGUAAACUGUAAUUGUAUCUGUUGACCAUACAAAGGAGAAGUCGUCCUCGGAUGUGGAUGAGAGUCAACCCAGACAGUUCGACAGGUGUCUGAUGAGAGUUUUCUCCCCACCCCCCUGGACAUAGCUCCGGCAGCUCCAUUUGGGACAUGGUCUAACAUCUCCGACAAGCUGGCAUCCCAUGACCCCAUAGCCCCCCCUGCCGCUAGAGAGGACCCUAUCCUCGCCGCCCAAUCCGAUGACGGGGCGUCCGUGAGCACCACACGCGAGAUUGGCGUGUGUACAGAUUUGUGCAACAGUGAAGAACCAGAUGAGGUAGAGAUUCUCAGCCUGAUUAAUGAGCAGAUCCCCAAAUACCGUCUCCGUGCCGACACCAUCACUGAGUUCGGUGGCUACAACAACGAGGACUGGAUACAGACUCCCGUCAUCCCGCUAGACACAGAUCUAGCACUCACUGACGAACAGAUCCAGGAAACUCUCAAGU